GAUUAGUUUGAUGGCGACCGGCGCACGGGUGAGUAACACGUAUCCAACCUGCCGAUGACUCGGGGAUAGCCUUUCGAAAGAAAGAUUAAUACCCGAUGGCAUAGUUCUUCCGCAUGGUAGAACUAUUAAAGAAUUUCGGUCAUCGAUGGGGAUGCGUUCCAUUAGGUUGUUGGCGGGGUAACGGCCCACCAAGCCUUCGAUGGAUAGGGGUUCUGAGAGGAAGGUCCCCCACAUUGGAACUGAGACACGGUCCAAACUCCUACGGGAGGCAGCAGUGAGGAAUAUUGGUCAAUGGACGAGAGUCUGAACCAGCCAAGUAGCGUGAAGGAUGACUGCCCUAUGGGUUGUAAACUUCUUUUAUACGGGAAUAAAGUGAGGCACGUGUGCCUUUUUGUAUGUACCGUAUGAAUAAGGAUCGGCUAACUCCGUGCCAGCAGCCGCGGUAAUACGGAGGAUCCGAGCGUUAUCCGGAUUUAUUGGGUUUAAAGGGAGCGUAGGCGGACGCUUAAGUCAGUUGUGAAAGUUUGCGGCUCAACCGUAAAAUUGCAGUUGAUACUGGCGACCUUGAGUGCAACAGAGGUAGGCGGAAUUCGUGGUGUAGCGGUGAAAUGCUUAGAUAUCACGAAGAACUCCGAUUGCGAAGGCAGCCUGCUGGACUGUAACUGACGCUGAUGCUCGAAAGUGUGGGUAUCAAACAGGAUUAGAUACCCUGGUAGUCCACACAGUAAACGAUGAAUACUCGCUGUUUGCGAUAUACAGUAAGCGGCCAAGCGAAAGCAUUAAGUAUUCCACCUGGGGAGUACGCCGGCAACGGUGAAACUCAAAGGAAUUGACGGGGGCCCGCACAAGCGGAGGAACAUGUGGUUUAAUUCGAUGAUACGCGAGGAACCUUACCCGGGCUUAAAUUGCAAAUGAAUUAUGGGGAAACCCAUACGCCGCAAGGCAUUUGUGAAGGUGCUGCAUGGUUGUCGUCAGCUCGUGCCGUGAGGUGUCGGCUUAAGUGCCAUAACGAGCGCAACCCUUGUUGUCAGUUACUAACAGGUUCCGCUGAGGACUCUGACAAGACUGCCAUCGUAAGAUGUGAGGAAGGUGGGGAUGACGUCAAAUCAGCACGGCCCUUACGUCCGGGGCUACACACGUGUUACAAUGGGGGGUACAGAAGGCAGCUAGCGGGUGACCGUAUGCUAAUCCCAAAAGCCUCUCUCAGUUCGGAUCGAAGUCUGCAACCCGACUUCGUGAAGCUGGAUUCGCUAGUAAUCGCGCAUCAGCCACGGCGCGGUGAAUACGUUCCCGGGCCUUGUACACACCGCCCGUCAAGCCAUGAAAGCCGGGGGUACCUGAAGUGCGUAACCGCGAGGAGCGCCCUAGGGUAAAACUGGUGACUGGGGCUAAGUCGUAACAAGGUAGCCGUACCGGAAGGUGCGGCUG
rnacentral:rRNA from 1 species